UACGGAGGGGGCAAGCGUUGUCCGGACUCACUGGGCGUAAAGGGUGCGUAGAUGGCUUGCCACGUCGGUGCUGAAAGCGCCCGGCUUAACCGGGCGAGGCGUGCCGAUACGAGCGAGCUCGAGCCUCGGAGAGGGCGGUGGAACUCCUGGUGUAGUGGUGAAAUGCGUAGAGAUCAGGAAGAACACCCGUGGCGCAAGCGACCGCCUGGCCGAGUGCUGACACUGAGGCACGAAAGCGUGGGGAGCGAACCGG
rnacentral:rRNA from 1 species